GAUGAACGCUGGCGGCGUGCCUCAAACAUGCAAGUCGAGCGGGGCUAUGUAAUAUCGCAAGGUAGAACAUAGCCUAGCGGCGAACGGGUGAGUAACACGUGGGUAACCUGCCUGGAAGACAGGGAUAACGAUUCGAAAGGGUCGCUAAUACCUGAUAAUAUCCUUUCAUCGCAUGGUGAUAGGAAGAAAGGGGAAACCCGCUUUCAGAUGGGCCCGCGUCCCAUCAGCUAGUUGGUAAGGUAAAGGCUUACCAAGGCGACGACGGGUAGCCGGUCUGAGAGGAUGUACGGCCACACUGGGACUGAGAUACGGCCCAGACUCCUACGGGAGGCAGCAGUUGGGAAUCUUAGGCAAUGGACGAAAGUCUGACCUAGCGACGCCGCGUGAGGGAAGAAGGCCUUCGGGUUGUAAACCUCUGUCAUGGGGAAGAAGUAAGUGACGGUACCCCAAGAGGAAGCCCCUGCUAACUACGUGCCAGCAGCCCGCGGUAAGAGUACUCUAU
rnacentral:rRNA from 1 species